rnacentral:tRNA from 1 species
GGAGCUGUGGUGUAGGGGUUAACAUGCCUGCCUGUCACGCAGGAGAUCGCGGGUUCGAAUCCCGUCAGCUCCGCCA